rnacentral:rRNA from 1 species
UACGUAGGUGGCAAGCGUUGUCCGGAUUUAUUGGGUUUAAAGGGUGCGUAGGCGGCCCUGUAAGUCAGUGCUGAAAUACCCCGGCUUAACCGGGGGGGUGGCAUUGAUACUGCAGGGCUUGAGUACAGAUGAGGUAGGCGGAAUUGACGGUGUAGCGGUGAAAUGCAUAGAUAUCGUCAAGAACACCGAUAGCGAAGGCAGCUUACUGGGCUGUAACUGACGCUGAUGCACGAAAGCGUGGGGAUCAAACAGG